UUACUCCCAUUCUGUUAACAUGGAGCUCGCUCAGUUUCUGUCCUUGUCGCUGCAAUUUCUUUCUUGUUCUUCUUCCUGAUUAACGGUCGAAUAACAAUUUUUGGUAGAAAACAGCUAGUUCAAGUCGAGCUCCCGGUGAGAAAGGAUGUAACUCCCGCUUCUUAUUUUUUUUUCAUGUUUAACUGUAAAUUCUGUACUUAUUUUGUUCACUAAGUAAUGUGAAGUUUUCUAUUAAUACAAAACCGGUAGUAACUCCAUAGUUCACAGUAGCCUCAAAUUUAUAAUUUAAAAUGCCGGUAUUCAAAUAUUACAUCAGAUUGUUUUAAUGCGUGCAAAAACCCGCUAUUAAAGCGGUCAAUGUCUAUGCUCGAAGUCUAUGCUCGAUGUCUAUGCUGGAUGUCCAUGCCCGAAGUCCAUGAUUGAAGCCAGGUCCCAUAUUCCACGUUCCAUGGUGAGGCUGCAAGUCUACAUUCGGUGAACCAGACCGAUGAUUACGAAUCCAGACGUCCAGUCUAAUUAUUCUGGUACGAGGACUGGUCCAGACGAAUCUGGGAAGAUUCCACCGGAGUUCGUAAUUGUACAAACCCGCCACACCACAAGAUUCGCCAUCUUCAAAUAAUAUCGACGUAUAAGGAUAUCAGCCAAACUUCGUAACAUCGCCCAUAUGGAUAAAGUGUAAACAGUGCUCGCGAAAAGUAAAAUAUUGCAAAAGUGUUCAUCGAUUAAAAGGGUUUUGGGGCGCCCCUCCUCAACAUAUAAGGUAUUUAUCUGAAUCACUAUGUAUUGAGAUCAAAAUGUAAUCUGUUUAUUUUAUAUUCAUAAUUUGUUGCACCGUUUAAUCUGUUUUCAAUAUUUAAUUAGAUGCUUCUUUUAACUAUC
rnacentral:lncRNA from 1 species